ACCGCAUGGUUUGAAGAGGAAAAGAGGCGCAAGCUUCUGCUGAUGGAUGGACCCGCGGUGCAUUAGCUAGUUGGUGAGGUAACGGCUCACCAAGGCCGUGAUGCAUAGCCGACCUGAGAGGGUGAUCGGCCACAUUGGGACUGAGACACGGCCCAAACUCCUACGGGAGGCAGCAGUAGGGAAUCUUCCGCAAUGGACGCAAGUCUGACGGAGCAACGCCGCGUGAGUGAAGAAGGUUUUCGGAUCGUAAAACUCUGUUGUUAGAGAAGAACAAGUGCUAGAGUAACUGUUAGCGCCUUGACGGUAUCUAACCAGAAAGCCACGGCUAACUACGUGCCAGCAGCCGCGGUAAUACGUAGGUGGCAAGCGUUGUCCGGAUUUAUUGGGCGUAAAGCGAGCGCAGGCGGUUCCUUAAGUCUGAUGUGAAAGCCCCCGGCUCAACCGGGGAGGGUCAUUGGAAACUGGGGAACUUGAGUGCAGAAGAGGAGAGUGGAAUUCCAUGUGUAGCGGUGAAAUGCGUAGAUAUAUGGAGGAACACCAGUGGCGAAGGCGACUCUCUGGUCUGUAACUGACGCUGAGGCUCGAAAGCGUGGGUAGCAAACAGGAUUAGAUACCCUGGUAGUCCACGCCGUAAACGAUGAGUGCUAAGUGUUGGAGGGUUUCCGCCCUUCAGUGCUGCAGUUAACGCAUUAAGCACUCCGCCUGGGGAGUACGACCGCAAGGUUGAAACUCAAAGGAAUUGACGGC
rnacentral:rRNA from 1 species